rnacentral:rRNA from 1 species
UACGGAGGGUGCAAGCGUUAUCCGGAUUCACUGGGUUUAAAGGGUGCGUAGGCGGACAGGUAAGUCAGUGGUGAAAUCUCUGGGCUUAACCCAGAAACUGCCGUUGAUACUAUUUGUCUUGAAUAUCCUGGAGGUAGGCGGAAUAUGUCAUGUAGCGGUGAAAUGCUUAGAUAUGACAUAGAACACCGAUAGCGAAAGGCAGCUUACUACAGGAUGAUUGACGCUGAGGCACGAAAAGCGUGGGGAGCAAACAGG